GAUGAACACUGGCGGCGUGCCUAAUACAUGCAAGUCGAGCGAACGGACGAGAAGCUUGCUUCUCUGAUGUUAGCGGCGGACGGGUGAGUAACACGUGGAUAACCUACCUAUAAGACUGGGAUAACUUCGGGAAACCGGAGCUAAUACCGGAUAAUAUUUUGAACCGCAUGGUUCAAAAGUUAAAGACGGUCUUGCUGUCACUUAUAGAUGGAUCCGCGCUGCAUUAGCUAGUUGGUAAGGUAACGGCUUACCAAGGCAACGAUGCAUAGCCGACCUGAGAGGGUGAUCGGCCACACUGGAACUGGGACACGGUCCAGACUCCUACGGGAGGCAGCAGUAGGGAAUCUUCCGCAAUGGGCGAAAGCCUGACGGAGCAACGCCGCGUGAGUGAUGAAGGUCUUCGGAUCGUAAAACUCUGUUAUUAGGGAAGAACAUAUGUGUAAGUAACUGUGCACAUCUUGACGGUACCUAAUCAGAAAGCCACGGCUAACUACGUG
rnacentral:rRNA from 1 species